CACAUUAGACUUGUUUCAAACCGAUUCCACUUGAGAAUCUAUGCACUUGAAGAAAAGAGUGAAUGUGGCCUUUAUUGUUCAUUUCUCUACCCUCGUUUUCACACCAUAUUCGAAUACUAUAAUUGUUCGUCAAAAUAUCUAUGGUAUAUGGAUAUGUGCCUUUUGUACCUUUUCUCUUUAUUCUAACCCUAAUCUCACUCUUUCUGUCCGGAUUGUAGCAAGAAAUCCCAAAUAAUCCGACUCUCAAAAUCAGUUCCUAAUUUGUGUCGAAGGAGAGGUCGAGUCAAGAUUCUGAAUUUUUAAAACCCAAUCCUUUAGUUCCCACUUCUUCUGAUUGCAGGUGGUGGGGAGAACUGUGAUAUCGAAAAUGGAUGAGCACCCCAAGACCGAAUGAACCUAUGGGCUAUGAAUGAGCUGCUUCAUUCAACGGCUUCUGCUCUACUAUAGCAACCGUACGCCAUACGAAUGUCUCUUGGGAGGAUAAGGCUGCUGUAAAAGUACUACUUGAACUCUUUUCAUGUCCCAACCCCUAAUGUCUCUGUUGUAGACCUAACUUGUCGACUUGAGAAGAGUGCUUCUUUACGACAAAAGAUGAAUAGUUCGAAGAUUGGCUCUUCACUUUGCAGAUAAAAUUUUACUCUCUGGGAAGCAAGAUACCAAAUUUACAUGAUGAUUUGAAAAAGAAUUGCAGUGAACUUAGGAUAUUACAAGGAAUUAAGAGAUUAUCCAUGAUUGUUGAAACUCGAGGAGAGUUCAAUUCUGGCAAAUCAAGUGUCAUUAAUUCUUUUCUGGGGCAAAGAUACUUGAAGGAUGGAGUUGUUCCUACUACUAAUGAGAUCACCUUUCAUUACCUUUCAAAAAAAAAAACUAAUGAGAUCACCUUUCUAUGCUAUUCUGAGUUGGAUUAUAAUGUUUAGCAUUGUGAAAGGCACCCUGAUGGUAAAUAUAUAUGCUAUUUACCUGCUCCAGUUCAUAAAGAAGUGAGUUUCUUCUACAUUUUCUGCCCUCUUCUUCUUGGACAAGAAUGCAUUCCUAAUACUGAAAGACAUUUUUUUUCCUCGUUGAAGGAAUAUUACUCUGUGUCAUGAUGAAUAGUUAAAUUUCUCCCCAUUCUCUGCUCCUUCCAGUGGUCUGGGACAGUAUGAACAAUCUUUGAAUACAUCAUAUAAGUGGAAGAAAGGUGAUCACUUUUCUACAACUAAUGAGAUUUCUUUUGCCAAACAGCUUCUUUCUGCUACUCCGAAGCUUAUUAGUGAAGAAUGCCAGCAAGCAAGAAAAGACUCGGUGAAUGAUCUUAUAAGUAGCAUGAAAUAGUAUGUAUGGAAAAUGGAAAGCGAAGCAUUUCUUGGAAGAGACAAAUUUUGUCUCUGAUUAAUAACACCCAAGCACGUAUCAUCAAGCUCGCAGAAUCAACCCUGCUACUAUCGAAUCUCGACCUUGUGACUUCAAAUGUUUUUAAGGGAGAUAAAUCUGUCCCUAUGCCAGUGACCUCAGGUCUUAGAAAUGAUGCAAUUGACCCUGCCAUUUCAGAAGCAAAUGUGAGUGCUGCAAUCCCCAUUCUUUAUUCUCAAGGCCUGGAAUGUUCUUAGGAAUUUGCUCUGCUGGUGGGUAAUCAGCCUCUUUUUGAUAUUUGAGUGGAGAAGCAACAUAUAUAGAGAAACUUUGUGCAAAUUCUCUUCAUAAAGGUUGCCGGCAGUCUCAAAUUUCCCCGUCUGAAGGCAAAAUGGGAUAGAUAAAUUUAGACGAACUGCAGAUGCCUUGGCUCGUCAGCUUGAAGAAGCAAUGCAAAAGGAGUUUUCGGAGACCACUGAAAAUCUAAACAAGUUUGCAGACUUUGCUGGCAAACCAUGUCAAGAUAUGGCACAGAAACGAGUUUAUAAACUUACUUAACACUCUUAGCAACUAUCGAGGAAAAAACUCAAAUCGAAAUCCAAAAUCUACAUGUAUCAAGGUAGCAAUGGACCUUUAUCUACUCACACUAUGGAUCAUAAGGGAAGUCAAAUAUUGUAGCAUUUGUUACUGUGAUGGAAAAAUUAUUUAUUUUAAUUAUAUUUUUUAUCAUUUUACA